CGACGGCUCCGGCUCCGGCUCCGGCUCUUGCCUCUCUCUCUUUCUCUCUCUCGCUCUCUCUGAACCCAUGACUCCCCACCGUCAAUCUCUCUGAGGGCCCGAGCCGCGCCCUCCUCUCUCUCUCUCUUCCUCAUAGCUCAUCCAGCGCUUCCCUCUAUGCGAUCCCAAAUCUCCUCAGCGAGGGUAGUUUGAAACCCUUUUCCGCUCAACUGGAUUCGAUCUGCUCCUCUUUUCCUGAGGAAUCUUCGAAAUUUUUCGGGAAAUUUUACUCGCUGGUAUAGAAAAUUUCUCUUUCCUCACCCUGAUUUGUUGGAAUACAAGGGAUCCGGUGUUCUUGUGUUUCUCUUUAGUUUUUAGUUGCUACUGCGUUAAAUCCCCAAACUUAUUUAUUUAUCUCCCCUAAAAAUCAGCUAAUUAAUUCUCAAAAUUUUCAUCUUUUCCCCUCCCGAUUGAUGUAAUCUCAAUGCUUGUUCCACUGGGAAGUGUAACCUCUAGUAUAUGGACAUGCAAUGCCAGCAUAAGGCCCAAUGGCUGAUGAUAUUUGGCCUCUUCUUCCUCUUGAUCUUAACCAGCAAUUGGGCAUGUCAUGCCGCUGCUUUGUCUUCUGACCAGGUGAGCAAUGUGUGAAGCGGUGAUGGGAGAAUCUUUGGCUGUUUGCCAUGCUCUUAAUCUUACCUUGCCAGCUCUUAUUUUGAUCACCGCAAUAGCCUGCAAGCUCAUCAUAUUCUAGCAGCAAAGCCAAUUGAUUUACUCCUUGACAACUUCCCCCUGCAGCCUUUCUUGAUGCUGCUGUUUUUGAAGACUCGAAUCUAGAAUUACCCUCUUCUCUGUCCAACAGAUCAAUUGUUGAAAUUCAAAUGGAUAUUAGGAAUGACUUGUUGGAAAACUAUGAAACUGUUAUUCAGUCACCGCCGCAUGCUAGAUAUCCGGUGAGUUUAAGAAAAAAACAAAAAAGUUACGACACGUUGUUUUGGAGUGUUUCAUGUUAUUUAAAACUUUGUUUGUAUACUUUUGGUGGUUGUAUGCUGAAACUAGCAUUUUAUAUAAUUAAAAUUUGUAAUUUUAAUUGGUGAAUUGUUUAGCGGAUGCAUAUAAUGUACAUAUCAAACUUAAAUUAUUGAAAGUUCAUUACAUUCAACAA